rnacentral:lncRNA from 1 species
CCAUGGGUUCUGGUUUUAUCAGUGAUCUAAGUCUCACAUAGAAACCUUGUUAAGUGGCGGGUUAGCUGUCUGAACCUGCUGCUGAGGUUUGGGAGAGGACCCUGAGAAAGCAGAUACCCACAAACCAAAGGGAGAGGUCCAGAAACACAAUAGGAAACAACAAUGAAAACUUGGAAAUGGCUUGAUUUCAGAAGUCUGGCGCUCAGCACUGUGAACAAAUCUCUGCUGCUUAAGCCACCUGGUUACAGCAUUCCCAGUAACCAAACACAACCUUGCCAGUCUGAGAAACAAAAGAAAUUUCUAUAAGGAUGAUAUCAGAUUAUGAAGAGAGGCUCCCACAGCAGGAACCAGCAGACAGAACAAGUGAACAGUUCCUGAAAUGGAUACGACAAAGACCUGGAACAAGCAGGAGUACUAUCAUACCUGAGAAGAAGCCAAGUAGAAGUUCACAAAUGAAGAUUCCGUGACUUUGUAUGUAAAGCUAUGGUAAAGUAGAUGUUAGAGGAAACAGGAGGAUGAACAAGCAUGAACACAAAAUCCAAGACAGAACAAAACCAUAAAAGGGACAAACAAAACUUCAACCUUUGUGGGAAAUGGUAGGAAGCUAUUGUGCCAGGAUGCUAAGGACGUCUUUAAGGAAUCAGAGAGGGUCACCAGGAAAAGGGCCAUUGUGUUACCUCAUGCAGAGUAAUGGAGCUGGACAUGCACCUUAUAGCAAGCAAAACUCAUCUCCGUGGAACAGGCUCAUAUAUGUACUGAAAGUAUAGUAGUUUCAUUUUUACAUACUUUUAGGCUAGCCUGCCAAAUCUUAGGUUUCAUUUUUGACAUUUUCAUUCAUAGGCAUCUCAUUGUCUGCUUCCUCCCACAUGCUGUACUAUCGAGAAGAAAACAAAAAAGAGUAAACUUAUUAUCCUGAAUUAAGCAAUGGUUCGUUAAAUAGAGCAUCAAAAUUACAAAUGUGAAUGAGAAACAAGAUAAAUUAGACUCUGAAAAUUGGUUCAUCAAAGUGCAGUAGCAUUAAAAAGAAAAAGACAACUUGAAACCAUAUCUAAUAAUGUACUAGUAUCCAUGAUGAACAAAGAUAAUUAAAUUAAAAGUAAGCAAAGGGUUUGUAUUAAUAUCUAGUCACAAAGACAUACUGAUGGCCAAUAGGCUCAUGAAGAUAUGGUCAUCAUAGCUAGAUAAGUGAACAUCAAAGCCACCUUAACACGGCACAUCCUCUCAUAUCCACUAGAAUGGCUUUGAUUAGAAAAGAGGGUCAGUUGGAAUGCUGAAGAGUAUGUGUCAAAAUUAGAAUCUUCAUUCAUGGCUGGUGUGGAUGCCAAAUGGUUCAGCCGCUGCUCUGGUGUGCUUUCCUCCAGCAUGACGUGACGGUUGCCUUCUUGAACACUCAGCAGCUGUGAAUGCCUAAUUGAGAUCCUCAAAAGACUGGGCUCAAUAACAUUCAGUAAUGGGGUAAGGGGCUCAUACAGCCCCACCCCUUCAUGAUGACAUAUAAAUAAUUCACAGAGGCUGGCCGCAGGGACAGGGACUUUUCUUGGGUUGUAUAGCUGUUUCUGAUUUGUCCAUGUUUCCGUAGGUACCUCCUCAUACAUGCUUAUGUAAGUAAUCACAAUUAAACUCAUUAAUUUACCAAGA